rnacentral:rRNA from 1 species
UGCAAGUCGAGCGGUAGCACAGAGAGCUUGCUCUCGGGUGACGAGCGGCGGACGGGUGAGUAAUGUCUGGGAAACUGCCUGAUGGAGGGGGAUAACUACUGGAAACGGUAGCUAAUACCGCAUAAUGUCGCAAGACCAAAGUGGGGGACCUUCGGGCCUCAUGCCAUCAGAUGUGCCCAGAUGGGAUUAGCUAGUAGGUGGGGUAACGGCUCACCUAGGCGACGAUCCCUAGCUGGUCUGAGAGGAUGACCAGCCACACUGGAACUGAGACACGGUCCAGACUCCUACGGGAGGCAGCAGUGGGGAAUAUUGCACAAUGGGCGCAAGCCUGAUGCAGCCAUGCCGCGUGUGUGAAGAAGGCCUUCGGGUUGUAAAGCACUUUCAGCGGGGAGGAAGGCGUUGAGGUUAAUAACCUUGGCGAUUGACGUUACCCGCAGAAGAAGCACCGGCUAACUCCGUGCCAGCAGCCGCGGUAAUACGGAGGGUGCCCGCGUUAAUCGGAAUUACUGGGCGUAAAGCGCACGCAGGCGGUCUGUCAAGUCAGAUGUGAAAUCCCCGGGCUCAACCUGGGAACUGCAUUCGAAACUGGCAGGCUAGAGUCUUGUAAGAAUUCCAGGUGUAGCGGUGAAAUGCGUAGAGAUCUGGAGGAAUACCGGUGGCGAAGGCGGCCCCCUGGACAAAGACUGACGCUCAGGUGCGAAAGCGUGGGGAGCAAACAGGAUUAGAUACCCUGGUAGUCCACGCCGUAAACGAUGUCGAUUUGGAGGUUGUGCCCUUGAGGCGUGGCUUCCGGAGCUAACGCGUUAAAUCGACCGCCUGGGGAGUACGGCCGCAAGGUUAAAACUCAAAUGAAUUGACGGGGGCCCGCACAAGCGGUGGAGCAUGUGGUUUAAUUCGAUGCAACGCGAAGAACCUUACCUGGUCUUGACAUCCACAGAACUUUCCAGAGAUGGAUUGGUGCCUUCGGGAACUGUGAGACAGGUGCUGCAUGGCUGUCGUCAGCUCGUGUUGUGAAAUGUUGGGUUAAGUCCCGCAACGAGCGCAACCCUUAUCCUUUGUUGCCAGCGGUUAGGCCGGGAACUCAAAGGAGACUGCCAGUGAUAAACUGGAGGAAGGUGGGGAUGACGUCAAGUCAUCAUGGCCCUUACGACCAGGGCUACACACGUGCUACAAUGGCAUAUACAAAGAGAAGCGACCUCGCGAGAGCAAGCGGACCUCAUAAAGUAUGUCGUAGUCCGGAUUGGAGUCUGCAACUCGACUCCAUGAAGUCGGAAUCGCUAGUAAUCGUAGAUCAGAAUGCUACGGUGAAUACGUUCCCGGGCCUUGUACACACCGCCCGUCACACCAUGGGAGUGGGUUGCAAAAGAAGUAGGUAGCUUAACCUUCGGGAGGGCGCC